rnacentral:rRNA from 1 species
AUUGAACGCUGGCGGCAGGCCUAACACAUGCAAGUCGAACGAGUGGCGGACGGGUGAGUAAUGUCUGGGAAACUGCCCGAUGGAGGGGGAUAACUACUGGAAACGGUAGCUAAUACCGCAUACAAUCGGAUGUGCCCAGAUGGGAUUAGAUAGUAGGUGGGGUAACGGCUCACCUAGGCGACGAUCCCUAGCUGGUCUGAGAGGAUGACCAUCCACACUGGAACGGUGACCCGGUCCAGACUCCUACGGGAGUCAGCAUUGGGGAAUAUUGCACAGUGGGCUCAAUCCUGAUGCAGCCAUGCCGCGUGUAUGAAGAAGGCCUUCGGGUUGUAAAGUACUUUCAGCGAGGAGGCGUUACUCGCAGAAGAAGCACCGGCUAACUCCGUGCCAGCAGCCGCGGUAAUAC